AGGCGGGAUGAGAGUUUUGGGGGAAAAAAGUGUGAUUUAAAUGGGGGUAUUUUGGUCCAAAAAACAGCUUUCCGACAAAGCUGAAAACAGCGUUUUCAGAAAGCUCCAAAUUGGAGCUUCUCCCCAAAAGCUGUUUUUAGCUUCCCGCAAAAGCUGAAACAGUUUUUCGAAAAUUUUACCAAACACCAUUUUUUAUCUAAAAGUACUUUUGAAGGGUCAGAAAGUACUUUUUGGCCCUCCAAAAGCUCCACCAAAGGUCCUGUUUGGGGGAGCUGUAGGUAGUAGAGCUUUUGAAAGUAGAGCUGUUGGAAGUAGAGCUGUCUGAAGCAGAGCGUUUAUAAAAAGCUGUUUGCUGUUUGGUAACUACAUUUCUAAAGUGCUGUGACACUUUAACAUAUGUUUGGUAAAUAAACUAAGAAAGUACUUUUGUGUGACAAAAUGACUAUAAAGGAUAUUAGCAGUAUUAUACAACAGAGCAUAAUAAAAUAUAAUAUGUAUUAAUACAUAAAUAUAUGAUAUAGUAUAAUAUUAAUGUAAUGUAAUAUAAUAUUAUUAUAAUAUAGUACUAUAACAUUAUGUAUUAUAGAAUAAUAACAUAACAUAUCA
rnacentral:lncRNA from 1 species